UAGGGAAUCUUCCGCAAUGGGCGAAAGCCUGACGGAGCAACGCCGCGUGAGUGAUGAAGGUCUUCGGAUCGUAAAACUCUGUUAUUAGGGAAGAACAAAUGUGUAAGUAACUAUGCACGUCUUGACGGUACCUAAUCAGAAAGCCACGGCUAACUACGUGCCAGCAGCCGCGGUAAUACGUAGGUGGCAAGCGUUAUCCGGAAUUAUUGGGCGUAAAGCGCGCGUAGGCGGUUUUUUAAGUCUGAUGUGAAAGCCCACUGCUCAACCGUGGAGGGUCAUUGGAAACUGGAAAACUUGAGUGCAGAAGAGGAAAGUGGAAUUCCAUGUGUAGCGGUGAAAUGCGCAGAGAUAUGGAGGAACACCAGUGGCGAAGGCGACUUUCUGGUCUGUAACUGACGCUGAUGUGCGAAAGCGUGGGGAUCAAACAGG
rnacentral:rRNA from 1 species